rnacentral:rRNA from 1 species
AACGAACGCUGGCGGCAUGCCUAACACAUGCAAGUCGAACGAGACCUUCGGGUCUAGUGGCGCACGGGUGCGUAACGCGUGGGAACCUGCCCUUAGGUUCGGAAUAACUCCCCGAAAGGGGUGCUAAUACCGGAUAAUGUCUUCGGACCAAAGAUUUAUCGCCUUUGGAUGGGCCCGCGUUGGAUUAGCUAGUUGGUAGGGUAAAAGCCUACCAAGGCGACGAUCCAUAGCUGUUCUGAGAGGAGGAUCAGCCACACUGGGAAUGAGACACGGCCCAGACUCCUACGGGAGGCAGCAGUGGGGAAUAUUGGACAAUGGGCGAAAGCCUGAUCCAGCAAUGCCGCGUGAGUGAUGAAGGCCUUAGGGUUGUAAAGCUCUUUUACCCGGGAUGAUAAUGACAGUACCGGGAGAAUAAGCUCCGGCUAACUCCGUG